rnacentral:rRNA from 1 species
UACGGAGGGGGCUAGCGUUGUUCGGAAUUACUGGGCGUAAAGGGUGCGUAGGCGGGUCUUUAAGUCAGGGGUGAAAUCCUGGAGCUCAACUCCAGAACUGCCUUUGAUACUGAGGAUCUUGAGUUCGGGAGAGGUGAGUGGAACUGCGAGUGUAGAGGUGAAAUUCGUAGAUAUUCGCAAGAACACCAGUGGCGAAGGCGGCUCACUGGCCCAUUACUGACGCUGAGGCACGAAAGCGUGGGGAGCAAACAGGG